GCCCCCGUGGAUGAGCGGUUAAUCGCCUCGCACUAUUACUCCAGAUACUCUUGUGUGUCGCGAGAGGACGCGGGUUCGAAUCCUGCCGGGGGCG